GGUAGAGCUAAUGUGAGUGCAAUAGUUGCCGUGCACGCGCAUUAGGUGCCCCUCCUGAUGGCUGACAUCGGCGAAGGAGGAGCAGAGAUAUAGCCUGACCCAGUGCCAAGGGAUAUCAGUGCUGGAAAAAAAAACAGAAGAGUUUUUAACCCUUCCAGUGCCAUGGAGGGCAGGGGUGGAGAUCGCAAGAGAGGGGGGCAUUGAGGUCACUAUAAUGCGAGGAAAACAACUUUAUUUUAC